GUCAUUCUCGAUGGCGACAGAAACAGUUUAAACUUAAUUGGUACCAAUAUAGGUUUGUUAAUAUCAAUUCAAACAUCCCAAUCGUUUUCAAAGAGACUACAUUAACAUGUAUCAUCCCUUUCAAGUCACAUUCGCAAACUACUAAAAAAACUGUACAGCUCGUCGUUCUCUACACGGUACGAAAAUUGUGUUAACCAGGUGACUGCCUUGGCAGCCAUGAAAAUUGUUCAUCCAUCUCAUCGGUAGAGCAUGUUAUUUUUUGUCAAGUAACGUCUUUUUCACCGAUAACCUUGGUAAUCAAGCCAGUAAAUUGUGGUUUAACCAAGUUCCGUUAAGCACAGUUACUGUAUCGCUAAGGCAUUUUGCUAAGGUCAGUUCAUAGUGCGUGUAGAUGAUUUCUGACCAUUGACACAAUGUGGACUCAACAUGGACCAAUUGUCGGAAAUCGCUCUUGCACGUGUAGAUUGAUCAUAGCACUGCUCUAAAGCUUGGAUGCAUCAUUAUCAUUCACAUUCGACGAUCAAAAUUUUGAAGUCGCAUUUCACAAUGGGAGAAAAUGUGUCUCUCGGUUGACAUUGAAAUCAAACAAACUUCAGACAGAUAAUUCAGAAACUAGAGCUUGCAAAGUUGACAUUUAAUCGGUCAU
rnacentral:lncRNA from 1 species